GGAUUGAACGCUGGCGGCAUGCUUUUACACAUGCAAGUCGAACGGUAACAGGCCGCAAGGUGCUGACGAGUGGCGAACGGGUGAGUAAUGUAUCGGAACGUGCCCAGUCGUGGGGGAUAACGCAGCGAAAGCUGCGCUAAUACCGCAUACGAUCUAUGGAUGAAAGCGGGGGACCUAAGGCCUCGCGCGAUUGGAGCGGCCGAUAUCAGAUUAGGUAGUUGGUGGGGUAAAGCUCACCAAGCCAACGAUCUGUAGCUGGUCUGAGAGGACGACCAGGCCACACUGGGACUGAGACACGGCCCCAGACUCCUACGGGAGCCAGCAGGUGGGAAUUUUGGACAAGUGGGCGCGAAGCCGUGGACUCCGAGCGAAUCGCCGCGUGCCUAGGAACG
rnacentral:rRNA from 1 species